CAGCAGCCGCGGUAAUACGUAGGGCGCAAGCGUUAUCCGGAAUUAUUGGACGUAAAGAGCUCGUAGGCGGUUUGUCGCGUCUGCCGUGAAAGUCCGGGGCUCAACCCCGGAUCUGCGGUGGGUACGGGCAGACUAGAGUGAUGUAGGGGAGACUGGAAUUCCUGGUGUAGCGGUGAAAUGCGCAGAUAUCAGGAGGAACACCGAUGGCGAAGGCAGGUCUCUGGGCAUUAACUGACGCUGAGGAGCGAAAGCAUGGGGAGCGAACAGGAUUAGAUACCCCGGUAGUCCCUGUCUCUUAUAC
rnacentral:rRNA from 1 species